UACGGAGGGUGCAAGCGUUAUCCGGAUUCACUGGGUUUAAAGGGUGCGUAGGCGGUUAAGUAAGUCCGUGGUGAAAUCUCUGAGCUUAACUCAGAAACUGCCGUGGAUACUAUUUGCCUUGAAUAUUGUGGAGGUGAGCGGAAUAUGUCAUGUAGCGGUGAAAUGCUUAGAUAUGACAUAGAACACCAAUUGCGAAGGCAGCUCACUACACAAUCAUUGACGCUGAGGCACGAAAGCGUGGGGAUCAAACAGG
rnacentral:rRNA from 1 species